rnacentral:rRNA from 1 species
UACGAAGGGUGCAAACGUUGCUCGGAAUUAUUGGGCGUAAAGCGCACGUAGGCGGCUCUAAAAGUUGGAUGUGAAAUCCCUCGGCUCAACCAAGGAAGUGCAUCCAAAACUGUAGAGCUUGAGUACUUAAGAGGAUCGCGGAAUUCCCGGUGUAGAGGUGAAAUUCGUAGAUAUCGGGAGGAACACCAGUGGCGAAGGCGGCGAUCUGGGAAGAUACUGACGCUGAGGUGCGAAAGCGUGGGGAGCAAACAGG